AUUGAACGCUGGCGGCAUGCCUUACACAUGCAAGUCGAACGGUAACGCGGGGCAACCUGGCGACGAGUGGCGAACGGGUGAGUAAAGCAUCGGAACGUGCCCAGUCGUGGGGGAUAACGCAGCGAAAGCUGUGCUAAUACCGCAUACGAUCUAUGGAUGAAAGCGGGGGACCGUAAGGCCUCGCGCGAUUGGAGCGGCCGAUGUCAGAUUAGGUAGUUGGUGGGGUAAAGGCCCACCAAGCCAACGAUCUGUAGCUGGUCUGAGAGGACGACCAGCCACACUGGGACUGAGACACGGCCCAGACUCCUACGGGAGGCAGCAGUGGGGAAUUUUGGACAAUGGGCGCAAGCCUGAUCCAGCAAUGCCGCGUGCAGGAAGAAGGCCUUCGGGUUGUAAACUGCUUUUGUACGGAACGAAACGGUCUGGGUUAAUACCCUGGGCUAAUGACGGUACCGUAAGAAUAAGCACCGGCUAACUACGUGCCAGCCGCCGCCGUAAGAC
rnacentral:rRNA from 1 species